ACCGGUGUGGCUCAGUGGUAGGGCUUUGGCCCGCACACCAAAGGGUCGUGGGUUCAAUUCCCAGUCAAGGGCA
rnacentral:tRNA from 1 species